CACUGCUCCGUUUCCAUGGGUCCCCUAAUUACAGUAAGCUAUUCCUCAUUCCAAACAUCAAUAAUCAUCGUUCUGUUAUAAGUUACUGAGGAAUUUAUGGUGGUAUUUGUUAUAUAAUUGAGUUUCGGUUAUUAUAUGUGCGAUUAGAGUUGCUGUGCUUGCCGGGAGUUGUCAUUGAAGCUGUUGGGCCCGCCGUGGUUGCACCCAGGUUGCUGCUGCGUCGCCGGAGACCACAGCUAAAGCCUCUGUCUUCUUAGGUUUCUAUUGCCGUGAGUUACUUAGUUAUACGUCGUCGCCGAAACCAGGCCAGAUUUACUGUUCCAGCUACUGUAAUUGCAAUUUGUAAUAAUGUGAUUACUAUAAGAGGCGUCAGAAUUGUUGCUGUCCUCGUGGGGUUAACGUUAUCGCUACUGCCAUGAAUUAAAAGGAAAGGGAAUUAUCACGAUAAGUUACGCGGACUUAGCUAACUGAGCUUUACCUUUUCAGGAACCGAAUGAAGAAGCAUUAAGAAGAGUU